GGGUUGGUAGCUCAGCGGUAGAGCGUCGGAUUGCGUAGGUCUAAUCACAUCAACAACUUCCAGGUUCUGUCCACUAACAUCCAUCUGUAGAGAUCCGCAGGUCUCGAGUUCGAUCCUCGAUCGGCCCU